rnacentral:lncRNA from 1 species
AAAUGUUAGCUGAAUGUUCACUCAGGCACAAGCGUGGGAGGGAUUCUUCCACUAAUUAGUUACCUUAUCUAGAUAAUCUCUUAAUUACCCCAAAUCUCAACUGUAAAAUAAAGGAAAAAGGACUGAAAAAUCUCCAAAACUUGUGUAUAGUUCUAAAUUCUGUGAUUCCAUUUUACCCUUCGUAUUUAGAGAAAAUCAUUGUUUACCAAAUUUUCUAGAAUCUCAGGGCAAGUCAUCGUAUUUUGAUUUGGAAAAAAAAAUCUUGAUAUUAGUUGGCAAGAGAAGUAGGCAACGUUAGAGUAGAAAUUUCUUAAUUUGUUCAUUAAUUUUUCAAACUUGAUGUGAGUGAUGAAAAUAAUUUUUAAGAUUCAUGGAUCUUGAUUUUCAAACUAGAAUUGCAGGUGUGAAUGAGAAGAUCCUGAUUCUCACACCUGGGUGAAAAGCAGCCCCCACACCACUUUACACAAAAGAGAAAGCCAUCCAGUGUUAAGGUGGCAGCGCUUUUCAUUGAGUGGGGAGAUCUGAUACAUACUCUGCACAAAUAAAGGGCACAUUUUAAGAAUUUCCCAGCACAAACAUGUACCACUGCUUGCUUUUCUCAGGCUUUCGUUUGUUCUGGGAGAACAGUGAGGACUUAACGUCCUCAAGGCUGGGAUUUGCUUUUUUGUAUUUGCCCAAAUGUUCAGGCCUAGCUUGGAGUUUGUUUUGGCCCUGUCUCUACAGGGGUGUCAAGCCAUUGCUAAGUAGGGGACAAAUGGGAAGAAAGCUUCGCAAAACCUCUCACGACCAACUUGUUUGAAGCUCUGGUUGUAUCAGCAUUGAUGGGCUAAGAAUCCUUGUCUUCCACUUGGGUCAGUGGAUGUUAUUGGGCCCAGGAACAUUUCCUCCAUGUUUGUCAUUCAACCAGCGGGUCGCUAAAAGUAGGGAGUUUGGGUUUUAGCCAAAACUAAAAUGGACAUUUUCUCAUUCUUUGGUUAUGGUAUCUUGAAGCAGGUUUGGCAGCCAAGACUGUUUAGGCUCCAUUUUCUCUACUUUGUAAAUGCUCCAUCUAGCACUUGUUACACACGAUUUCACCCUAGUUUUGUAACUACUUCAACUGUGCAGCCCUCAUCUCCUCCCAUUGAGAUUUGUAACUGGGCAGAAACUGGGUUUUCAACACAGGUACUGUACCCAAAAGUAUUUCUAAAGUAUACAGAAAUAGUCUCGUCAGGGUGAUGGGAACGUGGCCCAUUGAAAAUUUUUUCUUUUGGAGUUCCGUCAUGGCGCAGUGGAAACAAAUCUGACUAGGAACCAUGAGGUUGCAGGUUUGAUCCCUGGCCUCGCUCAGUGGGUUAAGGAUCCGCUUUCCUGAGAUAUAAUCUAUAUUAAAUGAAAUUCCUCUGUUUCAGGGAAUAGUUUGAUCAAUUUUGACAACUGUCACAGAGCCACUUCCACUAUCAAGAAAUGUACUAUUUUCAUUACCUGCCCAGUUUCCCCCUGGCCCCUUGCUGUUCAUUCUCUUCCUCUAUCCCAGGCCCAGGCAGUCACUGAUCUGCUUCUUGCCAUUAUAGUUUGGCCUUUUCUAGAAUUUCACAGAAGUGGCAUCAUGCAGUACAGAGUCUUAGGUCUGACUUCUUUUAUUAAUGUGUUAAUAUGCUGAAUUAAAUGAAUUGAUUUUCACAUGUUAAAUGAGUAAAGUGUUCCUGGGAUGAACUAUACUUGCUUCAUGUAUAACUGUCCUUACACUGAUGGAUUCAAUUUGUUAAUGUUUUGUGAAGGAUUUUGUAUCUAUGUUCAUGAGAGCUACUGUCUGCACUACUUUCCUUCGAAUGUAAUCUCUGGUAAUGUUUUUGCCUGGUUUUUAAACUUUUUUUUACUUUUAUUUUUUGUCUUUUGUCUUUUUAGGGCCUCAGCUACAGCAUAUGGAGGUUCCCAGGCUAGGGGUCCAGCUGGAGCUACAGCUGCCAGCCACAGCCACAGCCACAGCAACAUGGGAUCCAAGCUGCGUCUGUGACCUACACCACAGCUCACAGCAAUGCCAGAUGCCCAACCCACUGAGCGGGGCCAGGGAUCGAACCUGAAACCCCAUGGCUACUAGUCAGGUUCGUUGACCAUUGAACCACGACGGGAGCUCCCUUGCCCGGUUUUAAUAACAGGGUAAUGCUAGCUAGCCUCAUAGCAUUUUGAAUUAGGAAGUAUUUUCUCCUAUUUAUUUUCUGGGAAAAUUUGUGUAGAAUUGAUUUUAUUUUUCCUUAAAUGUUGUGUGGAAUUCAGUGAAAUCCUCUAGGCCUGGAAUUUUCUUUGGGAUAAGGUUUUUGAUUAUGAAUUACAUUUAUUUAAUAGAAAUAAGGCCGUGUGUGUUAUAAAUGUUAUUGUGUUAAGAGCUGGAUUUUGCUGUAUGACUUUUAAGAGCGUUGGACCUUAUUUAAAGUUAACUUGAGGUGAAGGCACUCGUAGACAACUUGAUCUCUUUGAGGCUUGCCUUUUUCUUUUCUUUUCAAAGGUAGAUUUUGUUCUAGGACGAAACUAUUAAACUACUAAAGCAUGGUUCAUCUAAAGACUCUACUCCAUGCUCUGUGGUAUGCUGGUAAAUAUUUAACAACGGUUCUCCAAGAAAAAAAUACAAAUCUGAUUCAUAUUGUUAGUUUACUUCCUAUUACAGCCAGUUUCAAUCUACCAGGAUAACAUCAAACAGCUCUCAAAAUCCCCAAAACUUAGCAUCAGCUGUCUCAGGUUUAUGCAAUCCAGCUCCAACACACCACCAUCAAUGAAUGCCUCCCAGGGUUCACCCUGAUUGGUCAAAAUAGGAACUAUGGUUAGCUUUGAGCAAAGCUCCCGAAAUUGCUUUGUCUACUGCUAUCUGGUGGUUCUUCCCCCAGCCUCAUAAAAUGUCACUUCCUAUGUGUGUGACUAAGCCUUCAGCCAGACUCAAGUAGACCCUUCUGCACAUCCCCAGGGCUCUUUGCACAUGCUCUCCCUCCUAUGCAUCCAUGCUGCAAAUACUCCCUCCAGUCCUCCAGUGUGUGUUGACUUUUGGGACUUUUGCAUCAUCCUGGGUAGGUUUUUCCUUCUAUUCAGUCCCAUCUGCCCUUUCUAGCAGAGAUUCUUCCCAGAUUUUGGUUUUAGAGUUCCAAUCAGCAUUCAUUUUCAUUUUUGUAUUCUUCUAAAUCUCCUUGGAUGUUUUAAUGCGAAACCUGGGGAACCAUGAUGAGAGACUAUGACCGUUGCUAAGGGACUGUUAUUAUAUUAGGAUGCUAGUGUUACCAAGCACUAGGGUUGGUUCUCUAAGGGGACAUUCCCAUUAUAGUUUUAGAGCCUGUGUCAACGCAGUGUAAACAAGAGAAUCACGCAAAAAUGAAAACACAGUGAUUUUCAGUAUUUUCACCACCAAUGACCCCUUUUAUUUUUUCUUCUCCCUUCUGCAAACCAGGUCUUAAGGGACCUCAUACACAAAUUUAUUUUUAAUUAUUAAAAAUUAAUUUGAGAUAGGCCAUUGCCAAGUAGAGUUUCUGAAUAGCAUACACUGUCUGGUUGGAAUCAUAUAAUUUAGUAAAAGCAAAAAGUCGUAAUGAGCAUUGGUGAGACCUGACUGUAUGCCAGGUGCUGCUCUAAGUGCCUUCCUCGCAUCAGAGGAGGAAAUUCUCACAACCAUCAUACGAAGACCACGCUGUUGCCAUCAUUAUUUCACUGACGAGGAAACUGAGGUUCAGAGAGGUCGAGUAUACAGGACAAGGUUUCAGAGCUAGUGAGUUGUGGAGCCGCACUGAAUUUCAGACUGUCUGGCUCCGGCCUCUAAAGGCUCGAACCUGUGCAAUGCAGAGUUGACACUUGAAUAGGACCAUGUGAUUACCUGAGUGCAAAUGACAAUUUCCACUAGACUUUCUGAAACAGUGAAAACAGCACAGAAACAUCCAUUACUACCUUUGGGGACACGGGACACCUAAGUAGAGGGCUCGGCUCUAAAAUUUAUUUUAUUUAUUUUUUUCUUUUUUGACUUAUUUAAAUACAUGGAACUCCUGGGUCAGGGAUCCUUUAACCCAAACUGUGCCCAACUGGGAUCGAACUUGUGUCCUGGUGCUACAGAGACAUCGCCAAUCCUGUUGCGCCGCAAUGGGAACCCUUGCUUUAAAAUUUAAAUACUGAUUAGUAUCCUGAGCUUUGCCUUGAACAAAUGUUGCACACUCCACCACUGGAUCUUUAGGGAACUCAAAGAAUGCUAAGAUACAACCCUGAUGUGGUAACUAGUCAUGUGGAGAAAUGGGGGCAGCUUCUCCAGUGUUCAUGUAAACUAACCAGAGUUUC